ACAAUCAGAAAGGGAAAGAAAGGGAACGGGGAGCUCGAGGGGGAAAACAGAAAGGGAAAAGAAAGGAAGGGGAAAGAGGGAAGGCAGGGGAAAAACGGAGGUGAAGAGAGGGAGGAGGAAGGUGCGACGCGGCCAAGACCUCACUGCUGCCGCUGUUGUGCUGCACGUGAGAGUGAGAGAGACACACACAGGACGAGCGUCGCGAGAAUCAAGGGAGGGAGACACGGUUCCGUCCUGUUGCCGUUGUGGGUUGCGCCUGAUCACCAUCGCAGAAGCUCCAUCGUCGCUGUUGCACAUAAGAGGAGAAGAUGAUUUUGCUGAUUUUGAUUCUGUCUAAGCCCGCAUCGUUGCUGGAAUCGCGAACCGGGGAGGAGAGGGAGGCUGCUUCCAUCGUCAUUUCAGGUGUCAGAAAAGACCGUCGCCAUUGAAGGAUCCACCGCCGCCGAAUCCCAGCCAUCAUCGCCGCCGGAGUCACCGUGGUUGCCGCUGGAGAAGUGCUAUGAAUGCCGCUGCUGAUGUUAGCACGCAAGGGGGGAAGAGCCCGUCCUUGCCGAUUCUGCCGCCGUCAAAGGGAAAAGGAAGUGAGAGCACCGGUACGGAACGCGAGAAAGGAAUCGUCGCCAAAACCGGAACAGAUUCACCGGACGGACACCCUGGUCUCUGGUUCCUGUUAUUCUGAGUACCAAAGCUGUUGCUCCAUUCCCGUCUUUCCUUGCCAUUAUUAAUUUUCCCCCCAAAGUUGCUGUUGCUGCUAUUAGAGUUGUGGUUGAUGCUGUUAUCCUCGCGUUAGAACAUGGAGGGUUGCUGCAUUUCCGAUUUUGUGUGGUUAAUGCGACAUCGAGUGACACAGGUUUGAAGACGCAAUUUGAAGCUGCGAGCGAUUAGUAGGCUUUCUUUAUGGUUUUAAUUACUUUCAUAGAGUCCCCUCGCUCUUUUCCUUUGAAGUUUUAUUUUAACAGAGGGGUAGGUAUUGUAUUUGGGUUUAUAUGACUUCCUAUGUAUAAGAAUUACUAAUAAUAAUACCUCUGUGAUUGUUAUUACUAUUUGCAAUGUUUAUCCUUGAUGCAUGUCUUUAAUGAAUAAAAACAAAAUUUUCUGGCAUUUCCUUAAAACUGAAACGCGAAAUCGAUACAAAGGCUCAGUAAUUAAGUAGUUAAUAUUAGAAAAGGUCACGUAACGUUCUUUCUAGUAGAAAUACCCUGACUUAAGCAAGGUAUUUUGCUGGAAGGGAUGUUACAGUAUCCGUACCUCAUGACCUCAUAACAUUAUAGACGUUUCAUUGUGUACCUUCCACAGCAUGAGCCUCUAAACCCCAUGGUUGGGGGUGAGGAGCUCUGCUGUGUCUUGAUGGAUUAAUGCAAUUACUACUGUUUCUUAUUCAAUUAUGCUUGCUUCCAUUCUAAGAUAUCACUUGCUCUUAACCCGGAUGAAUGUGAUGAUCCGUGACACUCAUCAUAUUCUCAACUAUGAACGUGUGACUGACA